rnacentral:misc_RNA from 1 species
AAGUCGUAACAAGGUUUCCGUAGGUGAACCUGCGGAAGGAUCAUUACAAAUCUCUGUCUUGCCUGGAAGGGAGGCGUCUUUGGGCGCUGACUGACUGGCAGACACAUAUGCACAGGGCCGCAAGGCUCUGAUGUUUACGCUUGAUUGUUUGACAGAUUUAUUAUGUGACUAAACUUGACAACUUUUAACAAUGGAUCUCUUGGCUCUU